CCUCACACAGUGAGCUGGGUGAUACUGACAUUAGUCUUCUAUUACUGCUUGUCAGAAAGCCUCAUGAGUGACACGUGACGAGGAAGGAGGUGGGCUGUACUCGGUGUGUCUGGUAGAAGUUAAUGUGCUGAUCUCAGAUGACCAACAUUUCAAAUGGAGGAAUCAUCUCUACAGCUGCUGCUGGUUCUGAUCUCACUGCUGAGCUGCACAACCAACCAAGCCUCUCUGACUGUGAGUCCCAGCAGCUCUCAGAUGUUUAGAGGACAGUAUGUCUCUCUGAGCUGUGAGGUGGACGACAGCUCUGCUGGAUGGACUCUGAGGAGGAACACAACCAGAGAAACCAGGACUCAGUGUGGAGA